GCUGCAGCAGACUCGCCUUGACCGACCCCGCGAGGACACGUGCGCGACUCCUGCUCCUGCUGCUGCCCUUGUCCUCCUCCUCCUCCUCUUCCUUCAGGGUGGGAGGAGAGCACAGGAAGAUUGUAAGCGUCGCCAAAGAGGAGAGGAACAAACAAACAAACAAACAAACAAAAACGUUCUCUACCAAGGUCACCAAGAGGGGCUAGAUUGACCUUCGCGAUGGUGACCUCCGGGGGUGUCACCUUGACCUGACCCCCCACCCCCACCCCCUUGGACCCCCCCCUCCACCCCUUCCCCUUCAUCACCAUUCCCCGUGAGAGCUGAUGAUGGUGAUGAUUGUUACCUGAGGAGUGUGAGGACAGGUCAUCUUGGACGCUGAAUAAACUCAAGAAAGGAAAAAAAGGAAAAUUUGGUAAAUGAAUGAAUUAAUAGAUAAGGAAAGUAAAAAGGGAAAGUCAUUAUCAGGACUGUAAAAGAAAAGGUUGAAAAAUAAGAAGACAAGAAGGAAAAAGAAGAGAAAAGAGAGAUAAAAAGGGGAAAGGAGACAAACACAAAAACUUAAACAAAAGGACAAAAAAACACAAGGAAAAAAAGUAGAAAAGGAAAGGAAAGGAAAAUAGAAGAAAUCAAAGUUAAAAAGGAGAAAAGGAAAGGAAAGGAAAAUAGAAGAAAUAAAAGGAAAAAAGGAGAAAAGGAAAGGAAAGGAAAAUAGAAAAUAAUAGAAGUAGAAAUAAGAUUAGAAGAAAGGCGGAAAAUAAAGGAAAAUAAAAAACGAAAAAGGAAAACAAGGAAAAAGGGAGAAAAUACGAGAUAAAUAAAAAGAUAAAGGAGGAAAAUACGUAAAAAAGAGAAAAAUAAAACAAAAACACGAAAAAUAAAAGAAGUAGAAAAUUACAAGAAACAAAAAAGCGGAAAAUUUAAAAAAGAAGAAAACAGGAAAAGACAAAGAAAACACACACACACACACACACACACACACACACACACACACACACACACACACACACACCAUAAGUUGAGUCCGGGGCAGUAAGAAGCCAAACCAACCUACAGAAGAAGAGGAAGAAGAAGAGGAAGACAACGAAGAAGAGGAACACGACGAAGGAGGUGACGGCGGGGCACAAAUAAGAAAACUUCAUUACAAGACGAAUCGUGCAGUGAACAUUGAAAGGGCGACUUGAGUGAGUGUUAUUAAGGCGGAAAGGUCACUAGGAAGGAUGUUUGAAGAAGAAGGAAAGAAAUUAUAUCAGGAAAACUAUUAUGUGGAGAAAGAGAAGUGACGGACAGAAAAAGAAAUAGUGAAAGAUAAUAGAACAAGAAGGAACAAAAAAAUAUACUUAGAAACGAACAGGAGAAUUGAAGGAAAAUUAUAAGUAUAGAAAAACAGGAAAAAAAAUACAGAAAAGUGAAGGAAAGUUAAAAGUUCAGAAAAAACAGGAAAAAACAGAAAAGUGAAGGAAAGUUUAAAGGAAUAAAAAAAAACUUAGUGAAAUAAAAUAGAAAGUAAAAAGAAAAUAGAAAAGGACAUAGAGAGGAAAUUUAAAGGGAAACUAAUCAUAUAAACAAACAAACUCGUGAAGUGAAGGAAAGAUUAAAGUAAAACAACAACAACAACAACAACAACAGAGAGAAACUUGCACACACACCAUCAUAGAAAACGGGGAACAGGUUGACUCCCAUAACAUUGAACGGGUGACUCAAAGAAAAAGAAAAUCAUCAAAAAAAUUGAAAAAAACAACGAACAACAGAAGAAACAGUGAUACAUAAAACUCGAAAAGACACUUAAAUAGAAAACGGAGAACAGGAGACGCUAGAACCAAACAGUGGAGGGAUAACUCGAAAGAAAAAGGAAAACAAACAAAAAAUAACAAAAACAAAAAAAUAUAGAAGCAGAAACCGAAGAAAACGUAAAGACAUUCAACAGAAAACGUGAAUAACAAAGAAAACGGACCCGAGGUUAACAGUGAACGGAUAACUGAAAGAAAAAUAAAAAACAAAAACAAAACAACAGACGAAGAAAACGAAGAGACUCAACAGAAAACGUGAAUAACA